UCUUCUUCUUUUUAUUUAUUUAUUUUUGGUCAUGUUUGGUUUUUGUUUUGUGCCGUUUCAUUUAGUGGACGAACGGGUUAACCAUGUUAUGCGCAUUUUGGUUUUUUGCCAUAUUAAUUUCAUCAUGUAGCUAACAAUGGAUAGUUUUAGGGAUUCAAAAGUUGCUUGGAUUGAAUAUAUGUGUAUGGUGAGAUCCGAAGCGGUCUUUAUCUGCUUCUGCUAUAAUUAUUUAUUGGCUAAAUAGACUAAGGCCAUGGUUGGGCAAAUGUGUAUGUGUGUGUGUCAAACUUGUGUUCUAAUU
rnacentral:lncRNA from 1 species